rnacentral:lncRNA from 1 species
AAAAAGGCAAAUAAAUAUCCGUCCCAUCUCCAAUGGAUCGCUCUUUUUAUUUUAUUCCCAGGUGUCCCAUUACAUCUUUGAAUGAUCAAAUCCAUUGAACAUUUUUUCUUUGUAUAUGUACUGAUCAUUUAUAAAUAUAAUGUCCCAGUUGGAAGGAAGUAAUGUUAAUUUAAUAUUUGAUAUUAUGUAAGAAAUUUGAGGUCUCACUCUGUCACACAGUAAAAAAAAUAAAAUUAAAGAAUCAACAAAAGAAGAUUUUUUUUAAUUACUUUUGGAUAACAAAGGUUAGAGUCACUAGUUAACUCUUUCUAUAACCUGAGGUACCGUAAUAGUUUGAACAAAAAGAAUAUAUCUGAGUGUAGAGUUUAUUUCAUCCAACCUAUAUAUAAUUAAAUUUUCCAAGAAAAAUUUUAUAAAGGGUGGGAUUUUUUUUUUUAAGAAUUAAAGGGUGCUUGUUGAUAGUAUAUAUAGAAGAUAAAAGUAUUAAGCAUCAAUGGAAUGCAAAAGUAGUUGAACUUAAAUACAUUCUCAUUAAUUUAUAUCUUCAUAGAUGUUUGAAUUUAGAAUACUUUCUCUUUUUAUGUUUUCUGUAAUAGUCGGGAUCAAAGAAGUGUUUCAAAACUAAUAUAAUUAAUUAUUAUAUAUAUGAUAUAUACAGUUAAAUUUAAUAGAAUUACUAUUUAUAUGUUAGUUUUUCAAAAUAAAUGAACACAUAACAUAACAUCAUUUAUUUAUUCAAUUUCUCUUCUAACCGACUAAUUAUUUUAGUUGACCUUGAGUUGAUUUUUUGGGAUUUUUUUUUUAAUAGUUGUUUGUUAUGGGAUCUUUUUACGCUAGUAUCUCUACAAAUACUAGGAGCUACGGAGCUAAUUUGGCAUCGAUUUGAAGCUUAUAAUAUGCUUCAUAUUUCUGGUUUCAUGUUUCACUAAUUAAAGGAGCUUUAAGUGCUCUUCUUGUUCGUCAAAAUUUUCAAGUUUGUACUCUGUUCUCGGGUGUUCAUAUUUCUUGUUUUUGUUUUGACUGCUGCCUUGAUCUUGCUUUUGAUUUGGUCUCCUCUGUUUGUGAUUAGUUCUUGAUCAAGGGUAUUGAUUGGCCAUCAAUCAAUCAUCCUAUUGUGUGAAGUGGAUGGAAAAUGCAAAAUAAAUGGGUGUCAAUUCGUAGAGCACGUGUUGGGUUGGCUCUCUAGGUCAAAAUUUCGUCAUGCAUUAUGUCUGCACAUGUACACACAAAAUCACACGCGCGCGCGCAGACAGAUAUGUAUAUAUAAAAAUAUUUUAAUCUAAAAUUUUAAAGUACAAAAAAAUUUUAAAAAAUAUAUAAAUCUUAUAAUUUAACCACUUUAAAUUUUAAAUUUUUAAAAUCAUGUAAUUUUAAAUUUUUCUCAUAUUUUUCUUACACUUUAAAAUUUUGAGUUAGAAAACUACUAUAUAUAUAUAUAUAUAUAUAUAUAUAUAUAUAUAUAUAACAGUGCUUGCAUGUGCUAACACAAACACCAGUCAAUUGUCAAAUUAUUUAAUUUACUCACAUGCAUAAAGAUUCCACUAUAUAUCUAAAUCUUAAUACUUGUGAUCUUAAUUAACCUCAUUAUGACGGUCACGUUUCUGUUGCUUUCAUUGUUACAGAGAGUUUUAUUUAGACAUGACAAGAAAACAUAUCAUCAUCUCAUAAGAUAUGCAGUACUUUAAUUUCCUAUUUAAGAUAAUCAAUUAUGCACAGGCUAAAAAUAAAAUACAAGAAAUUUUAGACCUAACCAAUCAGCGCCUAUCAAAUUUCUAAUCCUUGCUUUUAAAAAAAAUGAAAUAUUUAAAUAAUAAGAAAUUUACAUUUGAUAAUAAUCUAUGUUGCAUGUGUAAAUCCUAGAGAGGUGCCAAGAAAAUAUGUAACUCAUCUAAGAAAGAAUGGCGGGGAUAUAUAUAUUUAUAUAUAUAUAUGAAAUCAAUCGAAAAAAAUAAGUUACGUUCAAGUUCGUAGAGUAGAUUAGAUUUUCAAGUUAAUAUAAGAAAUCACCAUAUAUUCGUAGAAUAGAUUUUCAAGUUAAUGCAGCUCACCAAAUUUCUAUAUUGUACUACAAAGUGUACAUAUCCUAAGCUCCCAAUUGACUUUUGAUUAUAUGUAUUUUAGAUUGUAAAAAUUUGAAAAAAAAUAAAAUAUAUAAUUAAUUGUGCAUUUAUGUUUGUUUCCUCUAAAAUAUUUUACCUACUAGAGUGAAAUCCAACUCUCUUUAAUAUUUUCUCAUUUUAUUACUCGAGCCCCCCCGACUUUUUUAAUUAUUUAUAAUUGUAUCCUGACGUCAACACGCGCGGUAAUUAAAAAAAAAAAAAGGGUACAUUAUUUGAGUUCAUUCUGGUAACCUUUGUGUGCCGUUAUCUAGUAGAUUUGAUGUGGACACUAAAUGGGAGUAUUGGUAAUGGGAACAAGUGGUGAAGAUAUAAAGCAACAUGAAAUUAAACAAUGGGCAUCCGAUGAUGAAUGGGAACGUGUGAUUUAAAAAAAUAAAUUGAAGAAUAUAUGCCGUGCUCUGUUUUGGGUCCUGCCUUUCCCAAUUGGCGAAUAGCCCUUAAAUUUGACUACAUAUGAAUCUAUGAUGUUAAUAAAAGCCAAAAAUACGACUUAAAAGUCAACAAAAUAAUUUCAAUUACCCUUACAUGAAAGUUGAAAACGGCCUUGGAAAUGCCAAAGGAUUUAUGUCAUUUUGCUUUGCAUUGCGUUCGUUUCAAUUAUAAAUUUAUAAUCAUCAUGAUAUGGGCAGGGGAUUACAUAUUUUAACUGAAUCUUUAUGGGUUAUAAUUAUUUUUUUAUACAACAUACGAUGCAUGUUUUAUUGUUGAAUCCUCUACAGUCUACAAGAUGUAGGUUCUUUUUUAUCAUAUUGUAUUCAUAUACAGUGUAAUUUAAGUGCUGACAAGUUCCAUUAUAUUGUAUAGUAUUACAUUAAAACAUUAUUUUUAUAGUAACUUAUGUUUAAUUUUAAUUUUUUAGUUGCAUUGUACUGCAUUAAGAAGAUGGCCAAUACAAUAAAAAAUUGUAUAAAAUAAGACCGUGAGAAUUAAUAUUUAGAUUGUAUCGUAUUGAAACAUUGUUUAUAUUUUAAAUAUAAUCAUUUAUUUUUAUUAAUUAAUAAAUAAAAAUAAAUCUAUAAAUUUUAUUUAAUCAAAUAUUAUUUACUUAAAUACUAAAUAUAAAAAUAAAUUUAAAUUAAACAAAUUAUAUUCAACAUUUAUACAUCAAAAUAAAUUAUAAUAUAAUAUGAUAUUGGUUUAUAAAUAAUAUAAUUAUAUAGUAUUAAAUUAUAAUAUGAUUAUACUCUAUUAUAAUAAGUAAUAUAGUGGGUGAAGCAAAUCGCUGAAUAAGAUUGAAUACCAUGUGAUGUGGCAAAGCAUUUUGACUAGACAGUAGACAUAUGCAAUUAGUGGGUGAAGGAGGCAAGACCCACGAAACACUCGUCAUCCAUCAACUUUUAGAUUAGUAUUUAGUAGGCCAAAAAAUUAAAGCACCUGAAAAAUAUUUAAUCUAAGUUUUAAACAAACGAACCGUCCAAUUUAUACGGCAAGAUAACAUAUAUUAUAGAGCGGCUAAUUUUAUCCCUCCCAUUUCAAAUUUAAAUGGUCAAAAUCUAUGGAUUAAAGCUAAAGUAGGCCAAACACGAGCAUUUUUUUUUUUUUUUGGGAUGUAGUAAUGAGAGGAGCAUAAAUUAAUAUCAUGAUAAUACUUAAAAUUGAACAACAAAUAAAAAAGAAAACAUGUGUGCGUAAAAUGGAUUUGAUAUUCAACUAAUUAAGUCAGCUAGUAAAAUCUAGAAAUAAGAGAUUUGAAAUUUGAACCCUCCUCACAUACGUCGAAAGGAAAUCUUAUUAUCAUUAGAUUGUAAUAAAAAUUCAUGAUACAUGUGUGAAAGGAUAAAUAUUCUUUUAAUACCUAUAAUUAGAGUUAAUUAUUAAAUUAAUUUAUGUAUUUUUUUUAAAUAACCCAAAACACCUAUCGUGAAUUUUUAUCGAAUAGUAGUCUCAACCUUCAUUAAUUAAUUUUAACCGAUGUGAUAAAUAAAAAUUUGGGUAAAAGCUCGUUUAGUCCCUAUAUUUUGAAGUUAGUGCCUGUUUAGUCCCUAU